CCCUAUUCCCUAGUUGCCAGCGAGUUAUGUCGGGAACUCUAGAGAGACUGCCGGUGACAAACCGGAGGAAGGUGGGGACGACGUCAAGUCAUCAUGGCCCUUAUGGGCAGGGCUACACACGUGCUACAAUGGCCGGUACAGAGGGCUGCGAAGUCGCAAGGCGGAGCGAAUCUCAGAAAACCGGUCGUAGUCCGGAUUGCAGUCUGCAACUCGACUGCAUGAAGUUGGAAUCGCUAGUAAUCGCGGAUCAGAAUGCCGCGGUGAAUACGUUCCCGGGCCUUGUACACACCGCCCGUCACACCAUGGGAGUGGGCUGUACCAGAAGUAGGUAG
rnacentral:rRNA from 1 species